rnacentral:lncRNA from 1 species
CCCAGGUGUCCCCAGGUGUCCCCAGGUGUGUCCCCAGGUGUCCUCAGGUGUCCCCAGGUGUGCCCAGGUGUCCCCAGGUGUGUCCCAGGUGUGUCCCCAGGUGUGUCCCCUCACCAAGGUGUCCACAGGUGUCCCCAGGUGUGUCCAGGUGUGUCCCAGGUGUGUCCCAGGUGUCCCCAGGUGUCCCCAGGUGUGUCCCCAGGUGUCCUCAGGUGUCCCCAGGUGUGCCCAGGUGUGCCCAGGUGUGCCCAGGUGUCCCCAGGUGUGUCCCAGGUGUCCCCAGGUAUCCCCAGGUGUGUCCCAGGUGUGUCCUCAGGUGUGUUCCAGGUGUACCCAGGUGUCCCCAGGUGUGUCCCAGGUAUCCCCAGGUGUGCCCAGGUGUGUCUGGGCAUCCCUUGUCCGUGUCCCCCAUCCCUGUCCCCUGUCCAUCUGUCCAUCUGUCCCUGGGGUGUCCCCUGUCCCCCUGUCCGUGUCUGUGUCCCCCUGUCCCAAAUCCCCUUGUCCCCAUCCCCACCGUGUCCCCACGGUGUCCCCAGCUGUUUCCCUGUCCAUCUGUCCAUCUGUCCCCUGUCCGUGUCCCCCUGUCCAGCUGUCCAUCUGUGUCCAUCUCUCCAUGUCCAUCUUCCGUGUCCUCGUGCUAUCCCUUGACCCCUGUUCAUCUGUCCGUGUCCAUCUGUCCCUGUCCCCCAUCCGUGUCCCCUGUCCAUCUGUCCGUGUCCCCUGUCCAUCUGUCCAUGUCCAUCUGUCCAUGUCCAUCUGUCCGUGUCCAUGUGUCCAUGUCCAUCUGUCCGUGUCCCUGUGCUAUCCCUUGUCCCCUGUCCAUCUGUCCCUGUCCCUUGUCCAUCUGUCCGUGUCCAUCUGUCCAUCUGUCCAUGUCCAUCUGUCUGUGUCCAUCUGUCCGUGUCCCCUGUCCAUCUGUCCGUGUCCAGCUGUCCGUGUCCAGCUGUCCGUGUCCCCAUCUGUCCCCAGCUGUCCCCAGCUGUCCAUGUCCAUCUGUCUGUGUCCAUCUGUCCGUGUCCAUCUGUCUGUGUCCAUCUGUCCAUGUCCAUCUGUCCGUGUCCAUCUGUCCGUGUCCAUCUGUCUGUGUCCAGCUGUCCCCUGUCCAUCUGUCCAUGUCCAGCUGUCCCCUGUCCAGCUGUCC